rnacentral:rRNA from 1 species
CAGUAGCCACGGGAACACGAACCGUGCGAACGUUAUUCGGAAUUACUGGGCUUAAAGCGCGUGUAGGCGGGCCGCCACGUCGGUUGCUGAAAUCCCCCGGCUCAACCGGGGAAGUGGCAUCGAUACGAGCGGCCUUGAGGGGGGUAGGGGGAUCUGGAACUUCCGGUGGAGCGGUGAAAUGCGUUGAGAUCGGAAGGAACGCCCGUGGCGAAAGUGAGGUCCUGGACCCUUUCUGACGCUGAGACGCGAAAGCCAGGGGAGCGAACGGGAUUAGAUACCCGAGUAGUCCCUGUCUCUUAUU